GUGCCAGCCGCCGCGGUAAUACAGAGGGUGCAAGCGUUAUCCGGAUUUACUGGGUUUAAAGGGUGCGCAGGCGGGGCUUUAAGUCAGUGGUGAAAUCUCUUCGCUUAACGAAGAAACUGCCAUUGAUACUGAAGUUCUUGAAUCUAGUUGACGUUAGUGGAAUGUGUCAUGUAGCGGUGAAAUGCUUAGAUAUGACACAGAACACCGAUCGCGAAGGCAGCUAACGAAGCUAGUAUUGACGCUCAGGCACGACAGCAUGGGGAGCAAACAGGAUUAGAUACCCCGGUAGUCC
rnacentral:rRNA from 1 species